rnacentral:rRNA from 1 species
GACAGAGGAUGCAAGCGUUAUCCGGAAUGAUUGGGCGUAAAGAGCGUGUAGGCGGUCAGGUAGGUCCGUUGUGAAAACUCGAGGCUCAACCUCGAGACGCCGAUGGAAACCAUCUGACUAGAGUCCGGAAGAGGAGAGUGGAAUUCCUGGUGUAGCGGUGAAAUGCGCAGAUAUCAGGAAGAACACCCGUGGCUAAGGCGGCUCUCUAGUACGGUACUGACGCUGAGACGCGAAAGCGUGGGGAGCGAACAGG